ACAUACGACCAUACCCACUGGAAAACUCGGGAUCCCGUCCGCUCUCCCAUAGAUAAGCCAGUGAGGGCCGGAUUAGUAGUUGGGUCGGUGACGACCAGCGAAUACCCGGUGUUGUAUGUU
rnacentral:rRNA from 2 species